CAGUAGGGUGGACCAACAGGAGGCACUUGCAGGCGAUCAGAAGGGGUAAUUCUCCAAAGUGAAAGAAAGAGACACAAUUAUCAAAUUACUAAAAUGGAACGGCAUAAUUUGUAGAGCUCCAGGGCACUUUGGAGAUGGGUCCUGAGGACGCCCAGAAACCGGAAAGCUCUGCCCAGGGUGGCGCAGUGGCUGAAGGAGAGGAGAACCGGCGCUCUCCACACCUCAUGGCACUCUUGGAGUCUUACUUGGUGGGGAUGGCGAUAGCAAGGAGCAAACAUUAUGAUAAACGGAUACUGUGAAAUAAUUUUUAAAAAUGCAUGCUAAGCGCUCAACAUUUGAGGAAAGAAAAAAAUACGAUGAAAA
rnacentral:lncRNA from 10 species